rnacentral:rRNA from 1 species
GAUGAACGCUGGCGGCGUGCCUAAUACAUGCAAGUCGAGCGAACAGAUGAGGAGCUUGCUCCUCUGACGUUAGCGGCGGACGGGUGAGUAACACGUGAUAACCUACCUAUAAGACUGGGAUAACUUCGGGAAACCGGAGCUAAUACCGGAUAAUAUAUUGAACCGCAUGGUUCAAUAGUGAAAGACGGUUUUGCUGUCACUUAUAGAUGGAUCCGCGCCGCAUUAGCUAGUUGGUAAGGUAACGGCUUACCAAGGCAACGAUGCGUAGCCGACCUGAGAGGGUGAUCGGCCACACUGGAACUGAGACACGGUCCAGACUCCUACGGGAGGCAGCAGUAGGGAAUCUUCCGCAAAGGGCGAAAGCCUGACGGAGCAACGCCGCGUGAGUGAUGAAGGUCUUCGGAUCGUAAAACUCUGUUAUUAGGGAAGAACAAAUGUGUAAGUAACUAUGCACGUCUUGACGGUACCUAAUCAGAAAGCCACGGCUAACUACGUG